ACUCCUACGGGAGGCAGCAGUGGGGAAUAUUGCACAAUGGGCGCAAGCCUGAUGCAGCAACGCCGCGUGAGUGAUGAAGGCCUUCGGGUCGUAAAGCUCUGUCCUCAAGGAAGAAUAAAUGACGGUACUUGAGGAGGAAGCCCGGCUAACUACGUGCCAGCAGCCGCGGUAAUACGUAGGGGGCAAGCGUUAUCCGGAAUCACUGGGCGUAAAGGGUGCGUAGGCGGUUUUCAAGUCAGAAGUGAAAGGCUAUGGCUCAACCAUAGUAAGCUUUUGAAACUGUUAAACUUGAGUGCAGGAGAGGAAAGUGGAAUUCCUAGUGUAGAGGUGAAAUUCGUAGAUAUUAGGAGGAACACCAGUGGCGAAGGCGACUUUCUGGACUGUAACUGACGCUGAGGCACGAAAGCGUGGGGAGCGAACAGGAUUAGAUACCCUGGUAGCACAGAG
rnacentral:rRNA from 1 species